rnacentral:misc_RNA from 1 species
AUGAGUUAGGGUCUUCCAGGCCUGACCUCCAACCCUUUGUGUAAUUACCCUGUUGCUUUGGCGGGCCCGUCUUUAACCGGACCGCCGGAGGUCGUUUGACCUCUGGCCAGCGCCUGUCAGUAGCCCACCUAAACACUCUUACAACCAUGAUAAACCUGAACAUUUUAAAAUUAAACA